CCUACGGGAGGCAGCAGUGGGGAAUUUUGGACAAUGGGGGCAACCCUGAUCCAGCCAUGCCGCGUGCAGGAUGAAGGCCUUCGGGUUGUAAACUGCUUUUGUACGGAACGAAAAGACUCUGGUUAAUACCUGGGGUCCAUGACGGUACCGUAAGAAUAAGCACCGGCUAACUUCGUGCCAGCAGCCGCGGUAAUACGAAGGGGGCUAGCGUUGCUCGGAAUUACUGGGCGUAAAGGGCGCGUAGGCGGACAGUUUAGUCAGAGGUGAAAGCCCAGGGCUCAACCUUGGAAUUGCCUUUGAUACUGGCUGUCUUGAGUACGGGAGAGGUGAGUGGAACUCCGAGUGUAGAGGUGAAAUUCGUAGAUAUUCGGAAGAACACCAGUGGCGAAGGCGACUCACUGGCCCGUUACUGACGCUGAGGCGCGAAAGCGUGGGGAGCAAACAGGAUUAGAUACCCUGGUAGUCCACGCCGUAAACGAUGAGUGCUAGUUGUCGGCAUGCAUGCAUGUCGGUGACGCAGCUAACGCAUUAAGCACUCCGCCUGGGGAGUACGGUCGCAGGAUUAAAACUCAAAGGAAUUGACGG
rnacentral:rRNA from 1 species